UUUCCGUAGGUGAACCUGCGGAAGGAUCAUUAAAGAGAUAGGGUCUUCAUGGCCCGACCUCCAACCCUCUGUUGUUAAAACUACCUUGUUGCUUUGGCGGGACCGUCUCGGUCUCCGAGCGCACUAACCCUCGGGUUGGUGAGCGCCCGCCAGAGUCUAACCAAACUCUUGUAUUAAACCAGUCGUCUGAGUAUAAAAUUUUAAUUAAAUUAAAACUUUCAACAACGGAUCUCUUGGUUCUCGCAUCGAUGAAGAACGCAGCGAAAUGCGAUAAGUAAUGUGAAUUGCAGAAUUCAGUGAAUCAUCGAAUCUUUGAACGCACAUUGCGCCCCUUGGUAUUCCGAGGGGCAUGCCUGUUCGAGCGUCAUUACACCACUCAAGCAUCGCUUGGUAUUGGGAACGGUCCGUCGAAAGGCGGGCCUUCCUCGAAGACCUCGGCGGGGUUCAACCAACUUCGGGCGUAGUAGAGUUAAAUCGAACGUCUUAUAAGCUUGGUCGGAUCUCAUUGCCGUUAAACCUUUAAAUUUUCUAGGUUGACCUCGGAUCAGGUAGGGAUACCCGCUGAACUUAAGCAUAUCAAUAA
rnacentral:rRNA from 1 species